rnacentral:rRNA from 1 species
GCUUACGGCCAUACCACCCUGAGCACGCCCGAUCUCGUCUGAUCUCGGAAGCUAAGCAGGGUCAGGCCUGGUUAGUACUUGGAUGGGAGACCGCCUGGGAAUACCAGGUGCUGUAAGCU